rnacentral:lncRNA from 1 species
UAUACUGGAACACUUUGAAAACACAUAGUGGAUUUUGACUCUUGAUCAGGAACAAAUAACUGGAAGCGUAUGUCCAGGUGAAUAAGGAUUACAAUGUUGAAUGCCCUUGAGCCUCACUACCACAUACCAAUUUCUUUUUUUUCUGACAUUUCAUAGUUGAAUUAUUUCCCACAUUCCACUAUUCGUUUUCAUAGUGUGUCAGUAUACAAGAAAACACUGCAGUGUUGACACAGCUGUUGUCUGGACAACAAAAGGCUAUCAUUUGUUGUUAUAUGACGGCGUUCUGUAAAUAACCAGAUAAUCCAGUGAUUGACACUAUUCCACAUCGUUCCACCUGAUUGACAUCAUGAGCAUCGAUCCACGUAACUGACCUUUUUCCAAUACGUCCCUAUAUACGUUUCAUGUGCAAUAGCCUUAUUGAGGUGUAACUCUUUGCUCUUUAUGACACAUGUAGGAAUGUCAGAACAGCGCGCGCGUCCCCCCGCCGACCCUUGGAUGUGCCAGAACCCUUUGAUCCCGGGCUCACCCUGCACCCCCACCUUUUUGGAACAUUGUUUGUCAGCACCAUGCCCGUGUUCCUGGACUACAGUACAGUGGUCAACGUCUGGGACGUCGAUAACCUCCACCUGGCCUUUCACAUCAGUCUGACAUACCGUGACUUAACUGAAAUUCAAAGAGGCGUUAAAACAAAAUUCACUAUUUGCCAGUACAUGUAUUUGUUUUGAUGACUUUCUGUGUCCCGUGAUCUUGUUUCUACCUUUUUCAAAUGAAUGUGUGAUAGCCAAAAAUAUUUGUUCUCAUGGUGCAAAUGCCAGGUCUACUCCAACAAAGCGGUUCUGUACCACUCUUAAUUCUAUACUUUACCAACUACUCGAGACAUUCACUUAGAAACCCCCGACUCUUGCCAAUACGACCCUUGUAUCUAGUACUUGUACACUUAUGGAUAACACACUUCUGUACUCUUGUAUCUAGUACUUGUACUCGAGUAGCUCACACGUGUACUCUUGUAUCUAGUAUUUUUACUCUAGUAGAUAACACUUGUACUCUUGUAUCUAGUUCUUGUACUCUAGUAGAUAACACCUGUACUCCAGUAGAUACCACUUUAUUCUUGUAUCUAGUACUUGUACUCUUGUAUCUAGUACUUGUACUCCAGUAGAUAACACUUGUACUCUUGUAUCUAGUACUUGUAUUCAGGAUCGUGUUAUGGACUCAAUACAUUGGAAAUGUAAGUUUACAGCAUGAAGAAUAAUACAUUUCAGAAGAAAUUAAGGGCAUUCUUGCAAACUUACAAAUACAUCCUUCUGGUCAAAAUAGAAUUUGAGAGUCCAACAAUAUACUUGGGGAAGCGAAUCCUUCAGUUCAUAUAUAGGGUGACUUGUGACGGCAGUUUUACUAUUGCAAUACAGGUACCACUAGUAGCGAUAAUUUGAUGGGUAUCUUUACCGUCUUUAAUCAAUACCUACUUGUAUCAUGUGACACAAGGCGAUGAGGCAGUAUACCUGACUUGUGGCUGGUAUCAAUUUAGGAAACAUUUUCUAAAUGGAUACCAAAGACUACCUUCAAUGACUGUUUAUUUACGACCAACACUGAUGGAAUUAUUUUAUGAUUAACAAUAUCUUUUAAUUUUUAUUUCCAAGUUUAUCUGUGGCAUUUGUGUCAGUAAUGUCUACUACCGAUAUCUUGACAUGUCUUUAAUGACGCCUACAAUGACGAUGGACGGAUAAGACCAACCCUUACACCUUCGACCAUACAUUGAACACAUGUCCAUGUUCAAACUUAUUGUAGCUGAACUUCUUGUCCAUCUAUAACACACAAUUGAACCACAACGUUAGCUGCACAAAUUACGAAAGAAAACCUAAACAAUUUGCGUUUGAGAAGUUGUCACAGAAAUUAUGCUCCAGUUUUGAUUCAUGGCCACAAUACCAUAGAAACUAUUGUAAAUGUCGGUUUAACGCUUUACAUUUAUUCAUGCAACAUUUUUCAUUUACAUUGUUACAUGCUGCCCAAUAACGCAUUAAAAUUCAACACGAUGAAACUGC